CAGUCGCCGCGGUAAUACGAAGGGGGCUAGCGUUGCUCGGAAUUACUGGGCGUAAAGGGCGCGUAGGCGGAUAGUUUAGUCAGAGGUGAAAGCCCAGGGCUCAACCUUGGAAUUGCCUUUGAUACUGGCUAUCUUGAGUUCGGGAGAGGUGAGUGGAAUGCCGAGUGUAGAGGUGAAAUUCGUAGAUAUUCGGCGGAACACCAGUGGCGAAGGCGACUCACUGGCCCGAUACUGACGCUGAGGCGCGAAAGCGUGGGGAGCAAACAGGAUUAGAUACCCCCGUAGUCCCUGUCUCUUAUAC
rnacentral:rRNA from 1 species